rnacentral:tRNA from 2 species
CGGGAUGUAGCUCAACUUGGGAGAGCACCUUGCUUUGGGUGCAGGCCGUUGCACGUUCAAAUCGUGUCAUCCCGACCA